UGGAAAGGAUGAACGAACUUGGCCUGAC
rnacentral:piRNA from 1 species